UCCCACCCGUGUUCUUCCGCAACGAGUCUACCUGUCUCUCUCUCUCUCUGCACGCUGCAGCACCAGAAAGAUUCCUAGUCCAUCCCCCCACUUCGGCGCCCCACUGUUGCCACCCCUCCCCCCGUCACAUCCUCCGCCCAAUGCGGCAUAUAAAUCCCAGAUCCAGAUCUCCCACACCUCACUUCCCUCUUGCUACACACAUCUCCUCCACCUCGUAUGUACGCGCGUAUCUGAUCUCGCAGGUGUUUCUUGCUGGUGUUGUUAUGCUGCCGUCCCUGCUUUUUCUUUCCUACUUCAGUUUCUUGCAUUGAUCCGUGUUCAUUCAGUUUAUCCAGGGGUGGCGGCUGGGCGCAGUGGUUUAUCGAUCCCUUCCCUGCCUUGUGCUGAUCCGGGGGUGGUGGUUUAGUUUCUUGGGAGAUGUUUCUUGUUGCAGCAGACAACAACGCGGGAAUCGAUCGAUAAACCUCUGCAUCCAGCUCUCACUUUUUUGUUCAAGGGCGUGAGGCACCGGCUGCUGCUUCUUGGUUCUUGCUCAUGGAGUUUAUAUUUAAUAUCUGAUAUAUAAUAACUAUGAGUGACUCCUUGCAUGAUUUAACUUGUAUAGAGUAUUAUAGAUAGAGAUUUGGUGUGCCCUUCAAGCAGCUUCAAUUCGUUAGUCGCGAUGUUUACUUCAUGGAUACGUUCGUUAUUUUUUAGCUACAUAGUUGAUGCAUACACACACAAUAUAGCAUGUCCGCUUCUAUUUAUUGUAAGGGGAAAAAAAAAGAAAAACAAGUGCAGCGUGUCUGCUCAGUACUUAGGCACCAGAACCUAGCUUCAGUUUUUGUUUUGUUAACAAUGUUUGGUUCUGAUUAGAUGAUGCUUGGGCUACUCUAUGCUUCCGAGGUUUCUGGUUGGUUAGAGGUAUCUUGGCUAGUGGGGAUAAGUUCUCUUGCUCGGUUAUUUAACAAUUUGCCACUAUUACGAUUGAGUGAUUAACAAUUUAUCACCCUGAUCCACUGUCAGUGACCCAGAUAGGCCCAUAUGCCAGUGAGAGAGCAGAAUUGACACUCAUAAGAGUGGCAAAUCCAACUGCUCUAGAAAGUAUAGCCUGCAUUGGAGGUAGGAACCAUUAAGGGAAGGUGGAUGCCCUGGGGAUCUUGCUUGCUACCGUCAUCCCUAGUAUAGUUUCCAGUUUGUUGGGGUGAAUCAUAUUCAUGACAGUCACAGUGGUUCUAUUCUUGUUCAGAGAUCUCGUGCAUACUGAACUAUUCUCCACUUUAUUAUUCUUUUGUCUUGCAUGCUAAAAAUUGGAUGAACAGCUGAAUUUGGAUUCAAGAAUGUUGAAGAGCUUUAUUCAGGCUUCACAUGAACCGGUAAUAAUAGUAUUUAUCACUGCCGGUUGCUAACAUGAACUGACAGUGAUAGUUGGACUAUCAAUGUUAGGUCCAGCCUUGAACCGGCAGUGACAUACACAUCUCAUGUCACAAAACAUUCACAUACAUGCAAGUUUCACAUACAAUUCUCAUCACAGAUCAUUCACAUACAUGCACAUUUCUCAUACUGUUCACACCACAUAUCAUUCAUAUACAUACACGUUUCACAUACAGUUCACAUCACAGAUCAUUCAUAUACAUGCACAUGUCACAUUCAGCAAAAUAUAAUACAAGUCAAGAUAUAGAAUUGGCAUGCAUAUAGUUCAUUCACCACAUUACAAAUAUGGUUCAUUCACUACACUUUUGCUUGAUUCUACUCGGCAUGUCGAAUGAGAUAGUUUGCAAAGUUUAUUAAACCUACAAUUUCGACUCCAAAGAUUUCAUCCACAUGAAUUAGUGCAUACAUGAGUGAACUAUCUCGGGUUUCAUAGGGACGAUCCAAUGCCUUUCCAUAGAUAGUGAAACAGUUGAUAAUUGAACAAAAAUGAAUAUGGGCCUGAUACUUGCCUUCAGGAGCCUUGUUCACUGUGGGGCCAUAGACUAUGUACCCAAGCUGCUCCAUGACAUGAUGUAAGAUUGCAGCCAAGCUAAUAUCCGUGUGCAUCAAGCUAUUAUAGAGAAAAUCCUAUAGGCAAAGAGCAGCAACACAGAGGGGAAAAAAAUCAUACUAUUGAAAAGAUCCUGCAGGCAAAGUGCAACAACCUAGGUUAUCAGAUGCAUGUAAUUGCGAAAGCCUGUGAAUCAUCGAAGCCACAUCCUCCUGUAGUAGUGCUUUUGAUAUAGUUGUUCAAUGCCACAAUCUCGCUGAUGCUAAGCGCUGUUCUUGUAGAACAAAGUAGGCAAAAAUUUCCAUGUAUAUGUUUCAGACUUUCAGUUAUAGGCUAACCUAACGGCCAUAGUCCUACCACUGUUGGUUUGUGGCUCGACAUGCAUGAGAUAACUUUUUUCUCUAGAAUACGCUCCUGCGUAUCUUUGUAUUGAGAAAAUAAUAGUUCAAGGACAUGCACGAGAUAACGAGGUUAGAGUCUUAAGAGACAUAAGCAUUCCCAGAAAACUGAAGUUAGGAGCAGUCGCUUGUCUUGGAUGCAUAUUCUAACGAAGGAGAGUCUGAAGUAAUCUAGAGAAAAAAAGAAGGCUUGGAUACUCAUAGCAUGAGUGCAUGACUUUACACUGCAGUUGCUACUCAUAUAUCUCAGUUAUGAACAUAUGUUGUCUCUC